rnacentral:rRNA from 1 species
GACGAACGCUGGCGGCGUGCUUAACACAUGCAAGUCGAACGGAAAGGCCCUGCUUUUGUGGGGUGCUCGAGUGGCGAACGGGUGAGUAACACGUGAGUAACCUGCCCUUGACUUUGGGAUAACUUCAGGAAACUGGGGCUAAUACCGGAUAGGAGCUCCUGCUGCAUGGUGGGGGUUGGAAAGUUUCGGCGGUUGGGGAUGGACUCGCGGCUUAUCAGCUUGUUGGUGGGGUAGUGGCUUACCAAGGCUUUGACGGGUAGCCGGCCUGAGGGGGUGACCGGCCACAUUGGGACUGAGAUACGGCCCAGACUCCUACGGAGGCAGCAGUGGGGAAUAUUGCACAAUGGGCGGAAGCCUGAUGCAGCAACGCCGCGCGCGGGAUGACGGCCUUCGGGUUGUAAACCGCUUUCGCCUGUGACGAAGCGUGAGUGACGGUAAUGGGUAAAGAAGCACCGGCUAACUACGUG